rnacentral:lncRNA from 1 species
AUUCUAUGAAAAUCGAUUUUCGGGCAUAGGGGUAAAAUUAUUAUUUUGCCAAAGUCUAGGGGCAAAAUGGUCAUUUUACCAAAGAUGUAAAUUUAUGAUUUCUUAAUCCUAAUUAGUGACUAAAUGAGUGCAUAUUGUCAUUAUAGAUCAAGAAUUACCAAAUCUGAAACUAGAUCGAGGGAAGGCCAAGCAAACCGACUAAACCGAAUAGUCGAGUACUUUUUGUGAACUGAGGUAAGUUGUAUGUAAAUGAUAAAACUACACUGUUAAUGCUUGUAUUCAUAUCACCAUUGACUUGAUAUUGUAUGAGUUGUCAAGUUAUGAAUUGAGAAUGUCUAGUAAUAUUUGAGAUAAUAGAAAUAUCCUGUUGAAACAUUAAGAUACGAACUGGAUAUUUGUACCAAGACAUUUGGGUGACUUGUGCGCCAGUGUAAGAUAUGUCUGGGACAUGCAUCGGCCACAUUAUUAUAGCCAAUGUAAGACUAUGUCUGGGACAUGGCAUCGACAUCCAGACGAGGGCUAGUGUAAGACAUAUCUGGGACAUGCAUCAGCCAUACUAUGAUAGCCAGUGUAAGACCAUGUCUGAGACAUGGCAUCGGCACAGAGAUGAGUGCUAGUGUAAGACAUGUCUAAGACAUGCAUCACCUUGACAGAGAUAGCCAGUGUAAGACGUGUCUGGGACACGCAUUGGCUAAGAGAUGUGCUAGUGUAAGACAUGUCUGGGACAUGCAUCAGCACGCAUAUAUGAGAGCCAGUGGAAGACCAUGUCUGGGACAUGGCAUCGGCAAUAUAUCCCAUGUUGAAGGUUCAUAGAAUAUCCAGUAGUAUUCCAAACAUUUCAAUGAUGAGAGUUAUAGAUCAAUUUCGAUAAAGAAAGAAUAAUCAUGUUGUGAGUGGUACAGGUACCUAUCUGGUAACCAUGAGUAACGAGCGUAAUUUAGAGAAUAUGACUCGAGUAGAUGAUAAUGAGUAAGUUAAAUUAUGUUUACCUUUGAGCUAUAAGUAUGAUGACUAAAUGGUGAGAUUGUUGUUGUAUAUUUAUUUAUAUGCAACUUACUAAGCUUUACGCUUACCCUCUUUUCUUUCCCUCUUCUUUCAGUGUUAUCAAGC